rnacentral:lncRNA from 1 species
CUCGCAGUGGCGCUCUGAAACGUGUGACAUUUACGCAGGGCUGAAAAUGAAAAUUAUCCUUUGCUAUUGUCCGUGUGUUUACCCUUUGCUUUGGUCAGUUUCCAUAGCAAUCCCAACCGUGCAUCUCCUGUGAAUGGAGCAAUUCGGGUGCACACCAAUGAGUCCCUACGAGGCCCCGCUGCCUCCUGCUGUCAGCAGGGACAGCAUCCCCGUGGGAGGAAAGGAUUCACCGAGAGCACUGCUGGACACAGAUGGUUUUCAUGACACCAUGAAGUGGCUUGUGGAACUCCUUGCUAUCAAGGUAUCGAGAACCAGGAAGGGAGGGACCUCUCCUGCUGACUGCAGAGCCUCCUGCCUGCAUCCCUGCUACUGGAAGGAUGGAUGGACAGUGAGCCAAGAGCAAGUAUUGGAGCUGAAAUCCUUUUGUAACUCUGUAAGAGGACAGUGUUUCAAAGUAAGACCUAGAAAGCAUGCUUGUUUGCGGAAGAUGUCCUCACAACCUUCAUGGUACAUACCAAGAACUUCAAAAAUUGACAGAAAAUGAAGUGAAAAGGAAAAACGAUACUUUUCUGUACCU